AAAUUCAUUUCCAUCUACCAAUCAAUGUAUCAAAUAAUGGGUAAUACAAUUGGCUGACCUAUGGGUAAAAGGGGUAAAAGUAAAUUAAAAUAAGCAAAUGACUCAUAAAAACCUAAGGACUCCCUAAUAAUACCGUCGUAAAGGAUAAAUUUAGAGUUCAAAUAUUAAUUUGUUUAUAAUAAAAGCAUAAUCCGACUCUAGAACAACUCCAGAAAAGCCCUUAUCAAGGGCCUUCUGAAUGGCGCAUGACAAAGCAAAAGCCUCAAAAGAUGGGGCAUCAAAGGUUUCAGCAGUUGUACUACUGAAGCCGACAAGCACCAUUCCCUCAUGGUCACAAAAAAUAGCACCAGAAGUAGUAAUUCU
rnacentral:lncRNA from 1 species